AUAGCCUAACGGCUGAACCAGCAACUUGGAAGAAUGUAUAGCAAUUGCUAAUUGCACUAAAUAUUUUAGUGUAAAACCGAUUUAGUCGGAUAAAAUUCUGGGUAGGAUUUUGAUAAUGACAAUAUCUAUCCAUUAGUCUUGACCAAAUUACGUGCCAGCAGUCGCGGUAAUACGUAGAAGACAAGUGUUAUUCAUCUUUAGUAGGUUUAAAGGGUACUUAGACGGUAAAUAAAGCCUCAAAAAGGGACUAAUUUGCUAGAGUUUUAUGUGAAGAAGUAUUAAAGUACUACUGGUGUAGAGAUGAAAUUCAGUUAUACCUUACAUGGCACAGGUUAAGGCGAAGGCAUCUUCUUAUGUAAAAACUGACGUUGAAGGACGAAGGCUUUGUGUAUCGAACAGGAUUAGAUACCCUAGUAGUCUAAGCAGACAAUGAUGAAUGUCAUAGAUUAGAUGUAAUUUGAUCUAUAAAUGAAAGUGUAAGCAUUCCACCUCAAGAGUAAUUUGGCAACAUUGGAACUGAAAUCAUUAGACCGUUUCUGAAACCAGUAGUGAAGUAUGUUGUUUAAUUUGAUAAUCCGCAAAAAACCUUACCACAAAAUAUGAAUAGAUAUAUUUUAUCAUACAAGCGUUGCACGGCUGUCUUCAGUUAAUGUCGUGAGAUUUUGGUUAGUUCCAUUAAAUUAACGUAAACCCUUACUUUAUUUUUAAAUAAAGUAGUUCACCGUUAGAUUGGAUGUGAUAAUAGGGAUCAAGACAAGUCAUCAUGACCUAUAUGUAGU
rnacentral:rRNA from 1 species